UGGUGGAGUGAUUUGUCUGCUUAAUUGCGAUAACGAACGAGACCUUAACCUGCUAAAUAGCCAGGCUAGCUUUGGCUGGUCGCUGGCUUCUUAGAGGGACUAUCGGCUCAAGCCGAUGGAAGUUUGAGGCAAUAACA
rnacentral:rRNA from 1 species